rnacentral:rRNA from 1 species
GUUGGCGGUGAAGCAUAUGAAAACUCCAUAGUUAAGCAUGUUUAGGUGGGAGAAGUACUAGAAUGGGUGACCUCUUAGGAAGUCUUCACCGGGGCAAACA